GCCGGGCCUGGGCGAGGUGAAGGUAAUAACCGGAUCCGUGCUCGGUCCCGUGCCUUGGCCUCCCGCGGAUCUGCCUCGCUGCGAGGCUUCCGUGACGGCUUGCCGACGCGGUCGUCCUCUUCGGCCGCUAUUUAACGGUCAGCUCAGAACUGGCACGGACUGGGGGAAUCCGACUGUCUAAUUAAAACAAAGCAUUGCGAUGGCCCUAGCGGGUGUUGACGCAAUGUGAUUUCUGCCCAGUGCUCUGAAUGUCAACGUGAAGAAAUUCAAGCAAGCGCGGGUAAACGGCGGGAGUAACUAUGACUCUCUUAAGCCAACACUGUGAGUGCUCGGACCAUUGGUCCCUUCCUUUCAGGUCAUCUGGGCAGGGACCGCCGAUCCCUGUACCAAGCGAACAAUGCCGACACCACCGUGCAUUUCGCGGCUGCAAAUUAUAUGGGGGGACCUUGGUCUUUCUAUCGUCGGGCCACAGAAGCUUUUUCUUCCUUUUGGGCUUACUGUUAAUAUACAUAUAUAUAUAUACAUACAU
rnacentral:misc_RNA from 1 species